UGCGCAGGCGGACUCGUAAGUCAGUGGUGAAAGCCCGGGGCUCAACCCCGGAACUGCCAUUGAUACUGCUUGUCUUGAGUAUAGUUGAGGUGGGCGGAAUGUGUCGUGUAGAGGUGAAAUUCAUAGAUAUGACACAGAACACCAAUUGCGAAGGCAGCUCGCUAAGCUAUUACUGACGCUCAGGCACGAAAGCGUGGGAGCAAACAGGAUUAGAUACCCUGGUAGUCC
rnacentral:rRNA from 1 species